CCUGAUUUGUAUUCGAUUUGUUGGGUCGCACUGCGGAAAAACCUCGGCUCGGGGCCCUGCCUCUGAUGAAGCCUGUGUUGGUAGGGACAUCUGAGACUUGAUGAAUGCCAACGGCUCUGAUGGCGGUGCUUGCCGAGUUGCCGAGCGGGUUUCUGUUAAUGCCUUCUGCUCUUGCCUCUUCCCGUCUCUCAGUAAGGCCACGUGAGCCUCUAAAUGGCUGCAUUCCCCAUUGCAGCAUUAGUGCCCUCAGAAUGCUCCUGUGAAAUUUUGAGUGGUGUAGUAAAAGACCUGCAAACAUGAUGGGGAGACGACAAUGAUUAGAUGUGGGGAAAAAACGAAUUUUGGGAGUUCUUUGAUGGCCUAGCAGGUUGAGGCUCCUGCAUUCUCUGCGCUGUGGUUCUGGCUGCUGCUGUGCCGCGUAGGUUCGAUCCCCGGACCAGGAAUGCCCAGACACUAUACUGCAUGUGUGGCAAAAAAGAAAAUACAAAAGAAAAAAAUCUAAUUUUGAAAAUCCCUAAUCUUUUCUAGGAAUGGUGCUAGGGAUGAAUGCAAUGUGGCUUUUGAUGGCUUCUGAUGGGCAGGUAAGAAACAGCUAAAUGGAGAAGAAUGGGAUCUGCUUAGGUGAUUUUUUUGUUAAGCCUAUGAUGGUUAAAGAGUAGUGGGCAGAAGGAAUUUCUGAAAAAUUCAAUUCUGAGGCUUAAAUUCUUAAGAUAUUAAUGGUUAGCUUAGCAACGCAGUAUGUUUCAUUAGAUUUCCUUUGUUUUCUAGCUAAGCGCCAAGAUAUGAGAAUCGCUGCUGGGGUUGUAAAGCGCAAGCUUAACACUGUAUUUGUGGGCAAAAAGGUGAGAAACCUUUUUAAAGUCUAUAUACCCAGUGCUGUCCAAUUCUUUGUAUUUUUAGGGGUUGACAAAUCACCAAAUCAAUGUUGAUGCUUAAAUUAGCGGUUUGCUCCCCUUUUCAAACCUGAAAUUCUGCACCUUAGUUUUAUACUUAACUUGCGGGGAUCUGAAGAAACAGAUACUGUGAUGGUUGCAUAGUUCAACAGAUUGAAUCAUGAAAGAGAUAACAUUUGACUGAGUAUCUGGGUUGGGAAAACUUUGGCUAAUAGCAUAAGCAAAGUACCACUUCUAAUCUGACUUCUAUUUUUGUAGGUGCUAGGCAGAGUUAGCUGAAAGGUGAAGAGGUAAGUAAAAUUGUAAUUGAACUAAACAUUGGUGACUGGGCAAAGAUGACAGAAUGCCUCUGAUGGGUUUUUAGGACUGCCUUUUAAUACACGUGAAGCAAUCCUACCAUGAAGUGCUUGGACAGUGCUGAAUGCAUUAAGGCCAAAUCCUUGUCUUGUUACCGUAAGGUGUAUUGCUUUGGAAGAGCAGCCUGUGUGAUGAUAAGCAUAUACUGACUGAACAUGAAGGUCUUAUAUUAGCUCUAUCUGAUUUCAGGCAUUUUUUAGGUUUCUGGGGAAUAAUUCAUCUUUGACUACUGUAAAACCACUCUUUAUUUCUUUAGGUGAACUUGUCUGACAUGUCUGGACCAGCCUUUUUAGUGGGUAAGCAUUAAUGUUUAAAGCAAAAUUUAGUAGGCUCAAAACUUAGGGUAAUGCUGACAAGGUAGAAUGCCUAAGCUAAUUUUGUAUGUUUGAUUUGCAAACGUAUGUUGAGCAUGCUUUAGCAGGGUUUUUGUAAUGAUGUUGAGCAAAUGUCUGACCUGAAAUGAGCAUGUAGACAAAUCUAACACUGAAGGACCCUGUGACAAAAAUAAAUGAGAAUUUAAUGUAUGAUUGACCUUUUAG
rnacentral:lncRNA from 1 species